AUCUAUUGCAAGGCCUAGGCAAUUUGGAUUAUCUGGAAAGUUGCAGCAGCUAAUACAAUGUGAAAAGGACAGAGAUACAUAUUUCUUGGAGAAGUCACAAACACAUGAUGCUUCAAGUGGUGCAAAAAACUUCAUUGAUGUGAGAAUUUUGUCAAGUUCUUUGGAGGCCAAGCUGACUGUUUGUUUUUGUGCUUUACAUGGAGAUGAAGAGGGGAGUGUUGGCUGCUUAAUAAUUUCCAACAUAAUAAAUAUACAAAGGAAUAGAAGGGGCGGAGGUUACGUCAAGGAAGAAAGGAAAGGCCAAGGAUUGUUUUGAUCUGACUUAUGGCUAUAAAGUCAUAUUUCAUGGGAGUUCAUUCAUUCCUUAAUUAGUUUUGCAAUGGUAUUGCAUUUGAUUAUUUGAUGUGCUUCAACGUCAAAUUAAGCACUUUGGAAUCUGGAAUACAACUAGCUGACAAGUUUUAGAAAGAAAAAUUCGUGGUGUAAAAAGGGUUCUGAAUGCCUGAGCAAUCCUCAAAAAAGAAAGGGUACUGGAGGAAGGAAGUUAACUAUCAUUUUUAACUCAAGAAUCUGUAAAGAUAUCGAGCUGGAAAUAGGGAAUUUUAUCCGCAUACAUCAGCCUUGGAAAGAGGUACACGUGAAUGAGAAAGAUGAGGCCAUCAUUUUAUGUGCAUAUUUCUCUCAGAUUUAGCCCUUGAAUCGCAUUUUAUAACAAGGUAAUAGCAAGGUUUCUAGAGAUAACUUUAUUGUUGUACUUUUCCCGUUCCCUCUAUUUUCCUUGUAGAGUAUAAUGUAGAAGUUUGUCCGUUUUCUACCCGAAUUUCACCCAAGGGUACGUCUAAAUUUAUGAAGGUAAUCUGAUCACUUUAUUUAUUUUGAGCCUCAUUGGAUUGGUGGGAGUUCUAGUCCUGACUUCCUAUGCUCUUUAAGUAGGCUCAUCACCGAUCUUAUCCUAUACAAUGACCACACAUAUGCAGAAAGGGAAAUCAGUAGUUAGGGCAGGAGCCAAAGAAAUUGGCCAUCAUGUCAGUGUGGAUGGAGGUUGAAUCAACAAUGUUCGAUCUUGUAGCUUCCAAACUGAGCUUUGAGCUGCCGUUGUUGGGCAUGGUGACGGACAAUGCAACUGUGGCAGAAAACGAAGACAAUCUUGGAAAGAUUCUUGAUGUAUACGAGAUGAGACUACGGGAAUUAAAACACUUGGGAGAAGACAGCCUCACCCUGGCAGAUAUGCACCAUGUCCCAGUUAUACACCCAUAUCCCAGUUAUACACUACUUGAUCGGAACUAUAUCCAAGGCUGCGUUUAAUUCUCAUCCUCAUGUAAGAGUUUGGUGUGAGUAAAAAAUGUUGAAACUCUAGCCCUUAUUAGAGGAUCAUAAUACUUCCCAUAAAAUGGAAAUUCUUGAUCAAUGGAGGAAGAAUAGUGAUUAAUUAGCUGGAGAAGGGACAAUUGACUUCGUCGCUUCAUUCUUCCAUACAAGUGGACGAAAAAACGUUCAACUUUCAAAGUUUUGCAUUCAUUUUUAUCUUAUUUUCA